AUACGUAGGGAGCAAGCGUUGUCCGGAAUUACUGGGCGUAAAGGGCGCGUAGGCGGAUAAUUAAGUCAGGUGUGAAAACUCUGGGCUCAACUUGGAGAUUGCACUUGAAACUGGUUAUCUUGAGGGCAGGAGAGGAAAGUGGAAUUCCUAGUGUAGCGGUGAAAUGCGUAGAUAUUAGGAGGAACACCAGUGGCGAAGGCGACUUUCUGGACUGUACCUGACGCUGAGGCGCGAAAGCGUGGGGAGC
rnacentral:rRNA from 1 species